rnacentral:rRNA from 1 species
UACGAAGGGGGCUAGCGUUGCUCGGAAUUACUGGGCGUAAAGCGCACGUAGGCGGCUUCUUAAGUCAGGGGUGAAAUCCUGGAGCUCAACUCCAGAACUGCCUUUGAUACUGAGGAGCUCGAGUCCGGAAGAGGUGAGUGGAACUGCGAGUGUAGAGGUGAAAUUCGUAGAUAUUCGCAAGAACACCAGUGGCGAAGGCGGCUCACUGGUCCGGUACUGACGCUGAGGUGCGAAAGCGUGGGGAGCAAACAGG